rnacentral:rRNA from 1 species
UACGUAGGGUGCGAGCGUUAAUCGGAAUUACUGGGCGUAAAGCGUGCGUAGGCGGUUUUUUAAGUCAGAUGUGAAAGCCCCGGGCUCAACCUGGGAAUUGCAUUUGAAACUGGGAAACUAGAGUGUGUGAGAGGGGGGUAGAAUUCCAAGUGUAGCGGUGAAAUGCGUAGAGAUUUGGAGGAAUACCAGUGGCGAAGGCGGCCCCCUGGCCCGAUAUUGACGCUGAGGUGCGAAAGCGUGGGGAGCAAACAGG